rnacentral:rRNA from 1 species
AAUAGAUACCCGGGUAGUCCACGCCGUAAACGAUGAGUGCUAAGUGUUAGAGGGCUUCCACCCUUUAGUGCUGCAGCUAACGCAUUAAGCACUCCGCCUGGGGAGUACGGCCGCAAGGCUGAAACUCAAAGGAAUUGACGGGGGCCCGCACAAGCGGUGGAGCAUGUGGUUUAAUUCGAAGCAACGCGAAGAACCUUACCAGGUCUUGACAUCCUUCGCUACCUCUAGAGAUAGAGGGUUCCCCUUCGGGGGACGGAGUGACAGGUGGUGCAUGGUUGUCGUCAGCUCGUGUCGUGAGAUGUUGGGUUAAGUCCCGCAACGAGCGCAACCCUUGACCUUAGUUGCCAGCAUUCAGUUGGGCACUCUAAGGUGACUGCCGGUGACAACCGGAGGAAGGUGGGGAUGACGUCAAAUCAUCAUGCCCCUUAUGACCUGGGCUACACACGUGCUACAAUGGAUGGUACAAAGGGUCGCGAAACCGCGAGGUGGAGCCAAUCCCAAAAAACCNUUCUCAGUUCGGAUUGCAGG